GCGGAAACAAUUCACCUUCUUGUUUAUCCUCCUCUCUCUCUCUCUCUCUCUCCAACUGACGUUUCUCCUGUAUCUUAAAUGCAAGAAAGAAGGAACGAAAGAAUUCGAACCCAAGACCAAAAGGUGAUUUUUCCAACAAGAUAGAGAGCUCGGUAUCUUCCCCGAUUCCUCCAGAGAACCCUUCGAAAUCUCGUCGACCAGCUUCUCUUCUCCCUCCUCUGUUCUCAGGCCGCGGUGAUCGCCGCGCUAUCAGGAAGCUUACUUCUACGGCUUGUUAUUGAGAACCUCAAACUUUUGGGCGAUGAUGGUUUCAAAAUCAUGUGCAAACCUUUUUGAUAUGGGAUCUAAUGAUGCUUUUGACUUCAAUCAGGCUAUCAAAUCACUUCCUAGAGUGAUGACUGCUCCUGGUAUUAUUACGGAUAUAGAUGGGGUUACAAGCAGUGAUGAGGAUUCUAAUACUUCAACGACUUGGGAUCGGAAAAUUAUAGUAGCGAAUUUUCUUCCACUUCAUACUUCAAAGGAUCAAACCAAUGGAAAAUGGUGUUUCGCAUGGGAUGAGGACUCACUUCUGCUGCAACUAAAAGAUGGCUUUUCUGCUGAUACUGAAGUUCUCUACAUAGGUAGUUUAAAGGUUGAUGUAGAUGCUAGCGAGCAAGAAGAGGUUGCCCAAAAGCUCCUUGAGGACUACAGGUGCAUACCCACUUUCCUCUCUCCAGACCUCCAAAAGAAGUUCUAUCAUGGCUUCUGUAAACAGCAACUAUGGCCUCUUUUCCAUUACAUGCUUCCCAUCUGCCUUGACAAGGGUGACCUUUUCGACCGUUCUCUGUUUCAGGCUUAUGUUUCUGCCAAUAAAAUAUUUGCAGACAAGGUUGUGGAGGUUAUCAAUUCAGAUGAGGACUAUGUAUGGGUUCAUGACUAUCACCUUAUGCUUCUCCCCACUUUCUUAAGGAGACGGCUGAACCGAGUGAGGCUUGGUUUCUUUCUCCACAGCCCAUUUCCCUCCUCAGAGAUCUACAGGACACUGCCAGUUAGAGAUGAAAUCCUCAGGGCAUUGCUUAAUGCUGAUCUUAUUGGUUUUCAGACAUUUGAUUAUGCUCGGCAUUUCCUUUCUUGCUGUAGCAGGAUGUUAGGCCUGAACUAUGAAUCUAAGCGUGGUUAUAUUGGAUUGGAAUACUUUGGUCGUACAGUUAACGUCAAGAUUCUCUCAGUGGGUGUUCACAUAGGUCGGCUCCAAUCGUUGUUGAAUUUUCCUGAUACAUUUACCAAGGUUCAAGAGAUUGAGCAGAGAUUCAAGGGAAAAAAAUUGUUAUUAGGUGUAGAUGACAUGGAUAUCUUUAAAGGCAUCAGUCUGAAAUUGCUAGGAUUGGAGCUUUUACUGGAGAGGCAUCCCAAACUAAGAGGAGAGAUAGUCCUUGUACAAAUUGUCAAUCCGGCAAGAAGCAUGGGAAAAGAUGUGAACGAAGCAAGAGAGGAAGCAAUAUCUAUAGCUAAAAGGGUCAACCUUUGCUAUGGUGCUCCUGGCUACGAACCGGUGCUCCUUAUUGACAGCCCUAUACCUUUUUAUGAAAAAAUUGCUUUCUAUGUGGCAGCAGAAUGUUGCAUUGUAAAUGCUGUUAGAGAUGGCAUGAACUUAGUCCCGUAUGAGUACAUAGUCUGCAGACAGGGGACUGAGGAGAUGGAUAAAUGUAGGGGUGUUGGUUUGGAGUUACCUCACACGAGCACGCUUAUUGUUUCUGAGUUCGUUGGUUGCUCUCCUUCUCUUAGUGGGGCUUUCAGGGUCAACCCUUGGAGUGUUGAGGAUGUGGCUGAUGCUUUAUAUCAAGCAACUGACUUGUCAGUAUCUGAGAAGCAGUUGCGCCAUGAAAAACAUUACCGUUAUGUCAGCUCCCAUCAUGUUGCUUAUUGGGCCCGCAGCUUUGCCCAGGAUCUGGAGAGAGCAUGUAAAGAUCACUACAACCGAAGGUGCUGGGCCAUUGGAUUUGGCUUAGGUUUCAGAGUUGUUGCCCUUUCUCCUAGUUUCAGAAAGUUGUCCUUUAAUCACAUUAUUUCUUCAUACAAGAAAACCCAUGGGAGAGCAAUAUUUUUGGAUUAUGAUGGUACCCUUGUGCCAGAAGCAUCUAUUGAUAACACUCCAAGUGCAGAUAUCAUAUCUAUGCUGAACAACUUGUGCAGCGAUCCAAAAAAUACUGUGUUUAUUGUCAGUGGAAGAGGACAGACUUCUCUCGAUGAAUGGUUUGCAUCUUGUGAUGACCUUGGUAUUGCUGCUGAACAUGGCUAUUUCAUUAGAUGGAUGAAAGCCACUGAUUGGGAAUCUAGUUCAAAUGUUGUCGACUCUGACUGGAAGAAGAUUGCAGAACCUGUUAUGAGAUUAUAUACUGAGACAACGGAUGGUUCCUAUAUAGAACCAAAGGAGAGCGCAUUGGUAUGGCACCAUCAGUAUGCAGAUCCUGACUUUGGUUCUUGCCAAGCGAAGGAACUACUGGACCAUCUUGAGAAUGUGCUAGCAAAUGAGCCAGUGGUUGUCAAAAGAGGUCAGCAUAUUGUGGAAGUUAAACCGCAGGGAGUUAGCAAAGGGGUGGUUGUGGAGAAGCUCAUCAGAACAUUGGUCAAUAGUGGGAAGCCACCAGAUUUUGUGAUGUGUAUUGGGGAUGAUCGAUCUGAUGAGGACAUGUUUGAAAGCAUCAAUAGUGCAUCUUCUAGUAAUCUGUUUCCUGCAGUUCCAGAAGUGUUUGCAUGCACGGUUGGACAAAAGCCGAGCAAGGCCAAGUAUUAUCUCGAAGAUACUGGUGAAGUGAUAAGAUUACUGCAGGGCAUUGCUGCCAUUUCAACGAAACAAAAUAAGAUCACCCACAAUCAAGUUUCCUUUGUGAGGCCACAUGAAGCGGAUGAUUAAGCUCAUUUCUCCUUUAGCUACUGGUGACAGCCUGUACAUUCUGAUGGUCUACAUCUUCUGAAAUUCAUAUAUCUUAGCAUAUUCUAAUGUUUGGAGUUGAUAUUCAGGAUACUGACUCUGAUACUUUCGUCCUUACCUGUCAUCACAUUCAUAUGCAUAUGCUUUUGAACAGCAGAGGUAAUGACUGACUUGGAUAUGAUUGAAGGUGCCGACAUUGUAGGCAGUUUUGAAAGUGCAAGGAAUCUUUGAGAUUGUCCGGAUCGUAGUUGCCGUGGCCCUAGUGUCUUGUGAGAUGGAAGUAGAUUUGUUGCAAGAAAAAUGGUACAGCUUAUCUUUGUAAGGACACACUCGACUUCAAUAAAAAUGGUGCAUACAAGCUGGAUAUGUAGUGCAACAGAAUUUCUCUCUCUCAGUGCAGCGGGGUGUUAAAAGAGGUGUGAUCUCUGGUUUUAACUGGAGGGGUGACAGUGGGUCAGGUUCACCAUUUCCUAAUCCAAGUUCAGUAAUGGUCAACCCGAAACCAUUUGUUUCGGGUGGGUUCAGGUUUUGCCAUGCUGUUUGCUGGAAGUAAAAUGAAUGGCUUCACACUGAUUUUAGAAUGUUAGUCUCCAGCGUAAUGUUAAAAGUCUGCACACCUGGCCCUUGAGCAAGUCAUUCUUCGUGCUUUGUAUAGCAUCAGUCCUUGAAUCUUCUUUGCCAGGCUGUGAAUGGGUCCUUUCUUAUUGACGAAUACAGGAUGUUGCUAUGUCUCUGUGCUUUUGAUUUUGUAUACCUUUGGUUUUUCAGACAACCAUUCUUGGAUUUUUAAUGCCA